AGAAAUCUAAAAGAACCAACGUUUUGAAGAGCUAAGAGCCACUUAGGGAGGAUAAAGAGGAGAGGGAAGUGGAGGACUCGGUGCUAAAGAGGUGAAAUGUCUCGAGGUUCUGGAGGCAUACUGCUUCAACAAUGAAUGCCUGGGAUGUCUUCGCUGACUCUCUGAAAGAAGCCAAGCAAUCCCUCUAGAAAUACCAGCAGCAUCCAGAUUUUACAAAAGGCAAGAGGAUUCCAGGGACUCACUUGCCAGCUAUAUUCUAGUUUAUUUGCCAAAGGUUGGUACUGGAAGGACAUUGGAAGAGAGAGAAAAGGACCAACAUGGUAGUGCACCUAGAUGCUGCACACAAAUGGUGCAGUUUCAAAGCAGCAGCAGUAACAGUGGCAUUGCCUCCAGCAAAGCAGAGGCAAGAAAGAGCUGAGGUCCAGCCCAGGGAUGGUAACAGCUUCCAGCUCUUCGAGUAAGCUCCUCCUCUCUUGGAUUCCUCUAAUGGCCUCUUUGCCCCAUUCAUUCCUCCUGCCCUUCUGACACUUGUGUAAGCAAUACCUCUGCUUGAAAGACCUAGAGUGCUUUCUUAUUCUGGCUGGACACUGACUGUUACACCUGGAAAAUUAUUAAACUAUUUCAAGCUAUUUUUCUCAGCAAUCUCAUUUACAAAUUUAAGAAAACCCAGAAGCACAAAAGAGAUAAAGAAGAUAAAAAGAUACCUUCCUUCUUCUUAAAAUAAUAAUGUCAUUUAGUCAUAAUAUUACAGUUUAGAAAUUACUUUCCAAAAAUUGGCCCAUUCAAUCAUAACAUUAAUGAUGUGGUUUAGAUUUUUUUACAUCACCAUUUGAUUCAUCCUCAAUAGAGUGUGUAGAUUACUUGUCUAAGGUCAUUAAAAAAAUCACAAAAUUAGAACCUGAACUCAGACCUUUUGACUCCAAGAACAGAAUGAAUUUAAGAAAAAAAUUUUUUUAAAUAAAUCCUUAGGUUUUAUGAAUUUUUCUGGCCCAUAAGAAGAAAGUCUAUAUGUAAGCCUAAAUGCACAGGGUUUUUUCUCUACAGAUAACCACAGUAUUCCAUUGUUUGCAAGAGCAAAUACCUUCUUUGGGUAUUAGCAUAUUCUUAAGGUAGACGGAUGUAAAUAAGAUAGAAAAAAAUUAGAGAAGACUCCUUUUUAACUAUAAAAAUUUUAUGUUUCUUUGACCCUAGUCUGUGAUUCUUAAUUGUUAAUCUCAAUGGUGUGUUGUUAUGGAAAAUACAAAAUUUUGAUUAUUUGGGAUAAUGAGAGACAGCAUGUGGCCUCCACAGAUAGUGUCCCAAGCUUGCAGAAUUUUUUCACACAAGAUCACACUUACACACUGUGACAGGUUACACCAUUUCCCAAGAUGAUGCACCAUCUGGCCAAGGGAAGAAAACAAGCAUUGGCUCUGUUGUUGUUUAAACAUAAUGCUGUUUUCAAGCUGAGAUUCAAUAAAUAUGGACAGGCCAUACGACAGACUCAUGGACGCUUUUAAAUCACAAUCUUUAUUUAGAUUUGUGGUAAGGUCAUAGAAAGGGGUAAAUAUCAGCAAUCACAUUG